GUGCUCGCUUCAGCAGCACAUAUACUAAAACUAGAACUAUACAGAGAAGAUUAGCAUGGCCCCUUCACAAGGAUGACAUGCAAAUUCAUGAAACCUUCCAUAUUUUU
rfam:Pteropus alecto contig36299, whole genome shotgun sequence.